UUAAUUGAAACCAAAAUAGAGGUAUAUCACUGUUAAUGAUACUAAUGAACUUCCAAUUAAA
rnacentral:tRNA from 1 species